rnacentral:ncRNA from 1 species
UAUAAGGUUUGGUCCUGGCCUCAGUAUUAAUUGCAACAAAAAUUAUACAUGCAAGUUUCAGCAUCCCUGUGAGAAUGCCCUAAUUAAUCUAUUAAUUAAUUAGGAGCAGGUAUCAGGCACACACACGUAGCCCAAGACACCUUGCUAAGCCACACCCCCAAGGGAUUUCAGCAGUAAUAGAAUAUUGAUUUAAUAAGCGCAAGCUUGAAUCAGUUAAAGUUAACAGAGUUGGUAAAUCUCGUGCCAGCCACCGCGGUUAUACGAGUAACUCACAUUAAUACUUUCCCGGCGUAAAGAGUGAUUUAAGGAAUAUCUAUUAAUAACUAAAGUUAAGACCUCAUCAAGCUGUUACACGCACUCACGAGUGGAAUUAUCAACAACGAAAGUGACUUUACAUAUUAAGGAGCCUUGACGUCACGAUAGUUAGACCCCAAACUAGGAUUAGAUACCCUACUAUGCCCAACCAUAAACUUAGACAAUACUUCACCAUAUUGUUCGCCAGAGUACUACAAGCGCUAGCUUAAAACCCAAAGGACUUGGCGGUAUCCCACACCCACCUAGAGGAGCCUGUUCUAUGACCGAUAAUCCCCGUUCAACCUCACCACUUCUUGCCAUUACCGUCUAUAUACCGCCGUCGUCAGCUCACCCUGUGAAGGUUAAAAAGUAGGCAAAAAGAAUCCAACUCCCAUACGUCAGGUCGAGGUGUAGCAAAUGAAGUGGAUAGAAAUGGGCUACAUUUUUUAUAAAGAAAACACGAAUGGUAGACUGAAAAAUUACCUAAAGGUGGAUUUAGCAGUAAGAAAAGAUUAGAGAAUUUCUCUGAAACCGGCUCUGGGACGCGCACACACCGCCCGUCACUCUCCUCAAAAAACCCUACUUAUUUUUAAUUAAAAGAAAAUUACUAAGAGGAGGCAAGUCGUAACAUGGUAAGUGUACUGGAAAGUGCACCUGGAAUC